AAUUCCAGUUGCCUAACUUCCAGUCUGGCGUUCUUUCUUCUCGAAAACCAUGGUGGACAUACAGACUUGGUAUUAGUUCUUGGAUCUCUCCUUUACUGGCUCUGUGACCUUGGGAAAGCCUCUCAAAUUCUCCAAACAUACCUUUUCUACUUGGUAGAAUGGGAAUUAAGAAGCCAGGCUGGUAAAAGCUGGAGUGCAGCCAAGAGAGAAAUACCAGGACCACAGGGUAUUACCCAGGCUGAGAGCAUUUCAGCUUCCCACUCCUCCUUCCUCCUCCUCCUCCUUCCUCCUCCUCCUCGUCCUCCCCUUCCUCCUCUCCUCCCCUUCCUCCUCCUCCUCCUCCUCCUCCUCCUCCUCCUCCCUCCUCCUCCCCCCUUCCUCCUCCUCCUCCUCCUCCCCUUCCUCCUCCUCCUUCCUCCUCCCCUUCCUCUCCUCCUCCCCUUCCUCCUCCUCGUCCUCCCCUUCCUCCUCCUCCUCGUCCUCCCCUUCCUCCUCCUCCUCGUCCUCCCCUUCCUCCUCCUCCUCCUCCUCCCCUUCCUCCCUCCUCCUCCCCUUCCUCCUCCUCCUCCUCCUCCUCCCCUUCCUCCUCCUCCCCUUCCUCCUCCUCCUCCUCCCCUUCCUCCUCCCUCCUCCCCUUCCUCUCCUCCUCCUCCCCUUCCUCCUCCCCGUCCUCCUCCUCCCCCCUUCCUCCUCCUCCUUCCUCCUCCUCCUCCUCGCCUUCCUCCUCCCCUUCCUCUCCUCCUCCCCUUCCUCCUCCCUCCUCCUCCUCCCCUUCCUCCUCCUCCCCUUCCUCCUCCGCCUCCUCCCCCUUCCGCCUCCUCCCCUUCCUUCCUCCUCCUCCCCUUCCUCCUCCUCCCCUUCCUCCGCCCCUUCCUCCUCCCCCUUCCGCCUCCUCCUCCUCCUCCUCCUCCUCCCCUUCCUCCGCCCCUUCCUCCUCCGCCUCCCCUUCCUCCGCCUCCCCUUCCUCCGCCUCCUCCCCUUCCUCCUCCUCCCCUUCCUCCUCCUCCUCCCCUUCCUCCUCCUCCGCCUCCUCCCCUUCCUCCUUCCUCCCUCCUCCUCCUCCUCCCCUUCCUCCGCCUCCUCCUCCUCCCCGUCCUCCUCCUCCUCCUCCUUCCUCCUCCUCUCCUCCUCCUCCGCCUCCUCCUCCUCCUUCUUCUUCAUCAUUUUGAAGAAGAGAGAGACAUUUGA
rnacentral:lncRNA from 1 species